CAAACACACACUUCCCCAUUCUCUCUUAAUUCUCUCCCACUUUUCUCUUUUCUCUCAAAUAUUUUCUUUCAAGAACUUCUUCCUUUUCUUCUUUAAAUUUUCAGCCAUGCAACACAAAUUGGAGCUAGAAAUUCUAAUAAAACAACAACAAUAAUAAGGGUCUUAGUUAGAUUACAUCAAGGAUUGUUGGGAGCAAAUGUUGGAGCUUAUUUGGUGUCACUUUGGAGCCUUCCUGGUUGAAUUUUCUGCCAAUUUUCCAGCCCCAAAACAACCCCCAAAAUCGGUCCAAAAAGGAAGCAAGAACAAGGCAAGAAUCAAUCUAAACUUAUAAUAAUAAUAAGGGUUUGUUAAGGGUUAAUCAAGGGUUAAUUGAAGGUAUUAUUAAGGGUUAUUUUGAGCAAGGAUUAAGGGUUAUACGGAGCUUAUAAGGUCACGAAAUUUCUGCCCAAAAUCAUCUCCAAAACCGAAUUCAUCAAGGGGAUAGUCUUGACUUUGAAAUGUGGAUGAGGACCAUGAUGGAAUACAUGAUCAAGGAAGUACCUAUUUUGGAUAAGUAUAUAUAAUGCUCUGCAUAUCAAGAUGAAUAUACGUGUUGUAUGGAUCUCAUGAGUUCAGUGGUGUUUAUGAAGAAUUAUUUAUGUUAACUGGAUGUGUGUCAACCGUUAAGAUAAAGGGUCUCCAAAGUGUAUGAAAAUUGAGUCUAUACAGUCCGGAAUGAAGAAAGCUCAAGCUUGUACGUCGAGCAGAGUACACUUACACACCAACAACUCACCAAAAUUCAA